rnacentral:rRNA from 1 species
CUCGUAGUUGGAUUUCUGUGGGGGCGGAGCGGCCGGCCGCAACUCGCGGUUCGAGCUAGCGCUUCCCCUACAUCCUGCCGCGAACCGUGCUACCAUUAGUUUGGUGGCGCCGGGGAUCGGCUCGUUUACUUUGAGAAAAAUAGAGUGUUCAAAGCAGGCCACACGCCUUGAAUAAGUUAGCAUGGAAUAAUAAUAAAGGACUUCGGUUCUAUUUUGUUGGUGUUCGGGACUGAAGUAAUGAUUGAUAGGGACAGUUGGGGCGGUCAGUAUUCCAAAGCGAGAGGUGAAAUUCUUAGACCUUCGGAAGACUAACAGCUGCGAAAGCGUUCCGCAAGGAUGUUCCCUUUGAUCAAGAACGAAAGUUGGGGGAUCGAAGACGAUCAGAUACCGUCGUAGUCUCAACUAUAAACUAUACCAGCUAGGGAUCGGCCAACGUUAAAUUAUCCGACUUGGUCGGCACCUUAUGAGAAAUCAAAGCAUCUGGGUUCCGGGGGGAGUAUGGUCGCAAGGCUGAAACUUAAAGGAAUUGACGGAAGGGCACCACCAGCCGUGGAGCCUGUGGCUUAAUUUGACUCAACACGGGAAAACUUACCAGGUCCAGACAUAGUAAGGAUUGACAGAUUGAUAGCUCUUUCUUGAUUCUGUGGGUGGUGGUGCAUGGCCGUUCUUAGUUGGUGGAGUGAUUUGUCUGGUUAAUUCCGUUAACGAACGAGACCCCAGCCUGCUAAAUAGCGCGGUUGAGCUUUGCUCGGCGCGAGCUUCUUAGAGGGACUAUGAUGCGCGAUAGCACAUGGAAGUUUGGGGCAAUAACAGGUCUGUGAUGCCCUUAGAUGUUCUGGGCCGCACACGGGCUACACUGGCGCCUGCAACGAGCAUAUCAGCUGGCCCGAGAGGGUCUUGGCUAAUCUUUUGAACCGGCGCCGUGCUUGGGAUUGACCAUUGCAAUUGUUGGUCAUGCAACGAGGAAUGCCUUGUAAACGCGAGUCAUCAACUCGCAUUGAUACGUCCCUGCCCUUUGUA